CUACGGGUUGCUGCAGUCAAGAAUCUUCCGCAAUGCGCGAAAGCGUGACGGAGCAAUGCCGCGUGCAGGAUUAAGGCCCUCGGGUUGUAAACUGCUUUUCUGUCUGAAGAAUUUGUGACGGUAAGAUAGGAAUAAGAGGUUGCUAACUCCGUGCCAGCAGCAGCGGUAAUACGGAGACCUCAAGCGUUAUCCGGAUUCAUUGGGCGUAACGCGUCCGCAGGUGGUUUGAUAAGUCGAUGGUCAAAACUUUGGGCUCAACCCAAAGAUCGCUAUCGAUACUAUUAAACUAGAGGCUGGGAGAGGCAAGCGGAACUACCGGUGUAGUCGUAAUAAGCGUUGAUAUCGGUAGGAACACCAAAGGCGAAGGCAGCUUGCUGGAACAUGCCUGACACUCAUGGACGAAAGCGUGGGUAGCGAAUGGGAUUAGAUACCCUGGUAGUC
rnacentral:rRNA from 1 species